rnacentral:rRNA from 1 species
GUCGAGCGACGGACGAGAAGCUUGCUUCUCUGAUGUUAGCGGCGGACGGGUGAGUAACACGUGGAUAACCUACCUAUAAGACUGGGAUAACUUCGGGAAACCGGAGCUAAUACCGGAUAAUAUUUUGAACCGCAUGGUUCAAAAGUGAAAGACGGUCUUGCUGUCACUUAUAGAUGGAUCCGCGCUGCAUUAGCUAGUUGGUAAGGUAACGGCUUACCAAGGCAACGAUGCAUAGCCGACCUGAGAGGGUGAUCGGCCACACUGGAACUGAGACACGGUCCAGACUCCUACGGGAGGCAGCAGUAGGGAAUCUUCCGCAAUGGGCGAAAGCCUGACGGAGCAACGCCGCGUGAGUGAUGAAGGUCUUCGGAUCGUAAAACUCUGUUAUUAGGGAAGAACAUAUGUGUAAGUAACUGUGCACAUCUUGACGGUACCUAAUCAGAAAGCCACGGCUAACUACGUGCCAGCAGCCGCGGUAAUACGUAGGUGGCAAGCGUUAUCCGGAAUUAUUGGGCGUAAAGCGCGCGUAGGCGGUUUUUUAAGUCUGAUGUGAAAGCCCACGGCUCAACCGUGGAGGGUCAUUGGAAACUGGAAAACUUGAGUGCAGAAGAGGAAAGUGGAAUUCCAUGUGUAGCGGUGAAAUGCGCAGAGAUAUGGAGGAACACCAGUGGCGAAGGCGACUUUCUGGUCUGUAACUGACGCUGAUGUGCGAAAGCGUGGGGAUCAAACAGGAUUAGAUACCCUGGUAGUCCACGCCGUAAACGAUGAGUGCUAAGUGUUAGGGGGUUUCCGCCCCUUAGUGCUGCAGCUAACGCAUUAAGCACUCCGCCUGGGGAGUACGACCGCAAGGUUGAAACUCAAAGGAAUUGACGGGGACCCGCACAAGCGGUGGAGCAUGUGGUUUAAUUCGAAGCAACGCGAAGAACCUUACCAAAUCUUGACAUCCUUUGACAACUCUAGAGAUAGAGCUUUCCCCUUCGGGGGACAAAGUGACAGGUGGUGCAUGGUUGUCGUCAGCUCGUGUCGUGAGAUGUUGGGUUAAGUCCCGCAACGAGCGCAACCCUUAAGCUUAGUUGCCAUCAUUAAGUUGGGCACUCUAAGUUGACUGCCGGUGACAAACCGGAGGAAGGUGGGGAUGACGUCAAAUCAUCAUGCCCCUUAUGAUUUGGGCUACACACGUGCUACAAUGGACAAUACAAAGGGCAGCGAAACCGCGAGGUCAAGCAAAUCCCAUAAAGUUGUUCUCAGUUCGGAUUGUAGUCUGCAACUCGACUACAUGAAGCUGGAAUCGCUAGUAAUCGUAGAUCAGCAUGCUACGGUGAAUACGUUCCCGGGUCUUGUACACACCGCCCGUCACACCACGAGAGUUUGUAACACCCGAAGCCGGUGGAGUAA